rnacentral:misc_RNA from 1 species
CCAACUUCUACUAUUAUUCUUCAUCCCAGUGCAAUGAAUUCAAUAACUUGGAAACAAAAUGUUGCAACAGAACUUCGAUAGCAACAUGAAUAUCUAUUCAUCAUUUUUUCCCCUUUUUUUAAUAAGAACUACAAGAAUAUUGACUCACCAAUUUCAAAUCUCACUCUACCAAAAAUUUUCCUAAACAUAUCUCACUCCUGUGGUUCAAAAAAAUGUACAAAAACGUGUAACAAGAACAAACACUGUCUUGUUUUUUCACGUUCAAAAAAGAAAGAAAAAAAAAUCUCUCUAUGUAGUGUAUUUCUGAUAAUAUAUCCAAAACAAAAACACCAUCUAUCAAAAACUCUCCAUGGUAACAUCUGCAAGUAGCUCAUCAAUCAAAGAAUUCUCUAUUUCUCUGCCAAUCACCUGAAUGUCAUCUCCCAACUCCAACCACCCAUCAUCUUUUCCUGGGAACUUCUCAUAUUCCCUCCUUGCUUCCUUUUCCUGGCUAUCCAGUAACAUCCACAGCUCCUCCUCAAUCAGGUCAUGCCUCAGACUAAAACUAAACCUUUUUGCCACAGGUUUUGUCCAUGUCAGCACUCCCAUGGAUGGCUGUAAAAUCUCCAUCAGCCCAGAAUUAAUGCGAUCAAAUAGAAGCCUCCUUUCUGAUCUCUUCCAAGAAAUCUGCUCACCAUACUUUUUCUCCAGGGUCUCAAAGACAGAAUAACUGACUUGCGGAUGCCAUGUAUCAAAUCCCGCAUCCAAGUUUCUGUUGUGAAAACCUGCCUCGGUUAAUACAUCAAUGAGAUAGGAGAAAUCCCUACUCUCUUCAACUCUGAAUGGUCUCAUCAGGCCUUCAUUUUCUUCAGAAUCAUUUACAGAUCCUUCCCCAUUAUCUUCAUCGCUAGACACCAUCAUGUUGGAUCCUUCUGAAUAUGCCACAAACAAGGAUCUUAAAAAUAUAAAAAGGGGAAGAAAAGGAGGUGGGGGAAUACCUUAAAGGAAACAAAUUUGUAUAAAUUCAGAAGCAGCAGCACUAGUUUGCUAACCAUGUAAAGAAACAUUCACACUCUUAAAACAGUCAGAGCUGGAUGAAAUAUCCUUAUUGUAAAAUGGUUCCAAUACUGAAUUUGGACUAGGUUGAUAAGCCUCCUCAAAGGUCAUCAGUGACUCUGGGUCCGUGCCAGAGUUUAGUGAAGAAACAGACUCUUCAUCAGAGAUUCCAUUGGACAAUUCCUGUUGAACUGAGCUAUCUUCGAUAUGGCAAGGAGAAUCUUCCUCUCUUGUUGACAAAAUGCGGUUUCUUGAUUCUAAUUGAUGCUCUGGCAGAUCCUCUUCCCAUCCUUCAUUCUUGUGUCCCUCCUGAUUCAUCCAAACAUCUUGCAAAGUCUGAUUGUUUUGUCCAGAGGAUUUAGUAACUGCUAAAAUUUGGCCACCUGAAUCCCUCUCCUUGAGUGUGUUUUCCAGUUCAUUCUGAACUACAUAAUUAUAUCCCACUAGGCUAUUUUUUUCUGACUGCAAAUAAGAACUAGGUCGAGACUUUUUAUAGCUGGAGUCUGAGCUUCUACAAUCUGAACCAUCAUCUUUCUGGUCAAAGUCUUGCUCUCUUGACUUGUUCUGUACCAAAUUGAUAGAUUGAAGGUCACUUAUAUACCUGCCAUCUUCAAGAUGUUCAUAGUUUGUCCCGGUAUUGGGACUCCCAACUGCAUUAAAACAUGCAAGAAGGGAUUUGGAUCUUGGUAAGUCUCUGAUACACUCACUACUCCAACUAUCUGAACUGCUAAUGGCUAAGGGAGUACCUAAGUUCACAUCUCUACUAUAAGGAUCAACUUGCUUGCUCAGACCACACUUACCAAGCUUGUCAGGAAUUGAGAGCAUUACACCCGAAGUUUUGCUCCUACUAGCCAGUUCAACUUGUUGAAACCUUUUAGUCGUCUUCCAUCUUUCAGAGAUUUGCUUCUUGGCUUCCCUGACCACAUUUGGUCCAUCUGAAUUGUAAAAUUGUCUCUUCCUAUCAGACAAAAUAGGAAAUGAAAGUACUAUUGACUCAGAUUCUUUUGCAUAGAGGUCACUAUCACUAAUUUCAGAACUUGAUUCCUCUGAGGGCAUGCUACCUAUACCAUGGCCCACUUUUCUGGUUCUUUCCCUCAAAAAUCUAGACCUUCGCAUGACAGGUCUCAUGCCAUUGGCCAAGUUUUUACUCCUUUUCACUUGAGCAUAUAAAUUCCCAUUGCGAGAACUUAGAAUAUCAUUUUGCUUUCCAUUACCUGGAUGAGAUACAUUGUGCAACUGAGAAGAGAAAGAAAAGGAUCUGGUAGCACUGUCUGCAUUUCCACGGUUCGGUUUCAGGACAACAAUCUUGGCUGUUGGGAGAUAUGAUCUGUUAUUUGGCUUGAAUUUUGAUCUCGAAAACUUGUUUAUAUCAUCAAUGAAAAUUUCUCCUGAUGUUAUCCCAGUCCUACUCUGAACUUUAUUUAGUGAGUACCCUUGUUCGGUUUUCCUCCUAAGUUUCCUGCACAUGCUAAUGUCUCUGCAUUCAGAAGCACAUGGUGACUUUAAGACUGCAAUGGGCCCUGACUGUAAGCUCAAAUGCACAUCAUUUGACUCAUUGAUUUCCUUGGUAACCCAGAAAUCCGGUUUCCAAACAUAUUUUAGAAUAUUUUCUUUCUCCAAAUCAAUAGCUGUUGAUGAAUCAUGACAUUCCUUUGAACUUUGAAGUUUCUUAUCCCGCAAAACUCGCUUUGCUUCUGUGACUUUCAUCUGGACCUCUGAAGAACCCAUAUAAACUUCCUUCUUUUGAACUGGCAUGCUAUGGUGCUUGUUUUUCCUCAACAUGUGUAAUACUUGCAAGACAUUGUUAUGUCCAUCCUGCUCUUCAAUAUUCAAAUUAAAUGAAUGGCGUUUUGACCAUUUCUCUCUGACACCAAUAGAGGCAACUCUGCGCAGAUAAUUCUCAGAGAGCACUCUUGGUUUCUUCUGAACGCCCUGCUGUGGUGGCAUUUCAUCCAGCCCCAUUAAUCUCGACAUAACACUUGGCGCUGGCUGUUUAGACUCCCUUUUUGUUAGCAUGUCUUAAGCUACUUCAAAUAAGUACCUGAAGCACUCGCUAGAAAAUACAAUGGCGUACCUUCUUCAAGAGAUUUUCGAAUAUCAUGACAGGAAUCUUCACUUCCACUUAAUACCCAGAACUCGAUUUCUCCACCGCAUGCAAAAAUUUGAAUCAGAAUCGCUUCAUAUCCUUCAAAAUAAUGUUUUAGUAAAUAAAACAAUCUUUAAUCUCCGUCAAAUCUUGAUUAUAAAUCAAGAAAAGAAAGAGACACGCCGACAAAUUGACAAACAAUCCGCAGUCAACAGAUAUAGAAAAUAAAAAAACGUCAAAACCAAUUAAAUGUUGGCAAAUUUGAACACCCAAAAAGAAUAUUUAAAACCAAGAUUAUCUAAAACAUAAACCAGGAUUUGGGU